UAUAAUGUGCCUUUAUCUUGCUCUGCAUUUCUAGAUCAGCCUUCCUGGGGGAACAAGAGGCGCUGGGCCCCAUACCACAGGGACUGGGAUAACCAGAGCUUGGCCCAUAAACAAAAGCGCCUUGAUGACCCUGCCCUCCAUAAUAAUGGCCGACCAGUAUUCAAAAAUCGGCCUACCAGAGGGAAGAAGAGGCGCUGGAGACCACGCCAAAGUAUGUGGCGUUCCCAGAGGACGGUCUGGAAAAAUGAAGACCGUUCUGCCCGCGCCAAUUCCCGGCAGAUCUUAAAAUCCUUUACGGGUUUUAAAGUUAACUCAUCUGGGGCCGAAUCCACCAUCCUGGACCUUUGCAACGCCCUGAUGUCCUUAACUCUCUCUUGAGAAGGAGGAAAAGAGACAGGAGAGACUGACAGGAUGUGAUAACAUCAAAACGUUCUGUGAACCUUUAAUAAAAUAAAAAUUUCAAACAGA